ensembl:lncRNA
ACAGGACCCCUGGCUCUGUGUGUGUGUGUGUGUGUGUGUGUGUUGAGCUGCAGUAAAUGUGUCUGGAGUAACACACACUGGACUGUGUUUGUAAUUGUGCUGAAACGCUGAGAGGAAGAGCUCAUCCGAACAGCACGUUUGCUGGGGUUUUUCUGCGGGGGGUUAAACGUCUCGGCUGACAGUUCACGGAUGUGCAGUCAGGUUACUCAUGUCAAAUGACCAAUUAAAGGGGCUAUAGAGGAUGGCAGGGCGGUCUCUAGUGCUGCGCUCUCACGGGACACCAAUCAAACGAGAGCUCUAUCACUCAAAUUGUGUAGGCCUAAACAAAUAAAGACGAUAGUUUAGCUCAAAGAAUGAAAAGCACAGC